AGAAAGCUGAGACAUAGACCUACAACUUUCAUGAAGAACACAAAUCUAAAUUCUGAUCAUAACCUAGUCAAAUUGCUAACCAAACUUAGGUUACCAAAUCUGGUAGAACCAGUUUUGCCCAGAAUUUUGGAUUCUGUCCAAUCCGGCCAGUUAUGGUGUUUAGACUAUAACUUGAUCUACAAAACUCUAAAUGGAGUAAUUCAAAAAAGGAAAUGUAACUAGACAAAAUAAGGAACAACU
rnacentral:misc_RNA from 1 species